CCCUAUGUCUAAAAUCAAUUAAAAAAAAAAAAAAAGAAAACAUUGAAAGAAAAAGAAUAAACUAUUGUGAAUACUAACAACUGUAAACCUACUUUUGCUCCAUAUGUAUAUAUCAGAUGGUAGUAAAAGCUUUGGGUAAAAAUAAAGCAGGGUAAGGGGAUAAGAAGGACUGAGAUGGAUAAAAGAGAUUGUUGUUUUAAAUGGGUGCUCAGGGAAAGUCUCACUGAUAAGACUCCUGAAUGAAAUGGGGGGAAUCAUGAAUACAUCUAUGAAGAUUACAGGCAGAGGGGACAGCAAGUGCAUAAUCCAUGGGGUGGAAAUAUUCCCAGAAUCUUGGUGAGGUUGAUGUCAUUGUGGCUGGAGCCAAAUGAGUAAAGGAGAAAUUAUAAGUGAUAAGAUCCUAAAGACAGCAGGGGAUCAAAUCACUAGAAUUUGUGGGUCAUUUCAAGGGCUUUUAAUUUUUUUAUUGAAAUAUAUUUGACACAUGAUAUAAAUUAUAGUAUUAAUAUUGAUUUGAUACUUUUAUAUAUAUUGUGAUUUGAUUUCCAUUGUAGUGAUAUUUAGCACAAGGACUUUAAUUUUGAUUGAGAUAAGAAGCCAUAGGACGGUUUUGUAGUGAGAAUAGAUAUGGCCUGAUUAAUGUGUUAAUAGAAUCACUGGCUGCUCUAUUGAGUCUAGAGACUGAAAGGAAAAUAAGGACAGAUUAAGAAGACAAUUGUAAUCAUCCAGUCAAGAGACAGGUAGUUUAGAUCAGUUAUAGAUGUCAAGGUGACGAAAAGUGGCCAGAUUCUAGAGAUGUUUUCUAGGAAAAGCCAGCAUGACUUUUUUAGGGUUAGAUAUUGAUAUGAAGGAAGGUGCAAGUCAAAGGUAAUAACUGAGUUUUGGACCUGAAUCAUGACUUAAUUGAAAUAAAGCUGACAUUUAUGAGCUGGAAAACCUAAAGAACAGUGUGAAGUUAGAGGAUGGGGCAGAAUCAGAGUUACAGUUUGGGACAUAGUAAGUUUGAGAUACAUAAUAGUUCAAGGAGAAAUCUAGAUUGAAGUCAAUGUGUGUGUUGUUUAAAGCCAUGAACCUGAAUGAGAUCACCGGAGUGAUUUUAAGUAAGAAAUAAGAUAAAAUAAGAGGCUCUAGGAUUAACCUUUGAGGAACUCCAAAAUUUAAAGUUGGGGGGAGGA